rnacentral:rRNA from 1 species
UUGACCUCGGAUCAGGUAGGAAUACCCGCUGAACUUAAGCAUAUCAAUAAGCGGAGGAAAAGAAACCAACAGGGAUUGCCUCAGUAACGGCGAGUGAAGCGGCAACAGCUCAAAUUUGAAAUCUGGCCCCCAGGCCCGAGUUGUAAUUUGUAGAGGAUGCUUCUGGCGACGCGACUUCCGAGUUCCCUGGAACGGGACGCCAAAGAGGGUGAGAGCCCCGUCCGGUCGUUCGCCUAGCCUCUGUGAAGCUCCUUCGACGAGUCGAGUAGUUUGGGAAUGCUGCUCUAAAUGGGAGGUAUACGUCUUCUAAAGCUAAAUACCGGCCAGAGACCGAUAGCGCACAAGUAGAGUGAUCGAAAGAUGAAAAGCACUUUGAAAAGAGGGUUAAAUAGUACGUGAAAUUGCUGAAAGGGAAGCGCUUAUGACCAGACUUGGGCCAGGUGAAUCAUCCGGCGUUCUCGCCGGUGCACUUUGCCUGCCCAGGCCAGCAUCAGUUCGCUUCGGGGGAUAAAGGCUUCGGGAAUGUAGCUCCUCCGGGAGUGUUAUAGACCGUUGCGUAAUACCCUGGGGCGGACUGAGGUACGCGU